rnacentral:rRNA from 1 species
GAAGCAAAGACCGCGAGGUAGAGCAAAUCUCAAAAAAACAAUCUCAGUUCAGACUGCAGGCUGCAACUCGCCUGCACGAAGUCGGAAUUGCUAGUAAUCGUAGGUCAGCAUACUACGGUGAAUACGUUCCCGGGCCUUGUACACACCGCCCGUCAAACCAUGAGAGUUGGCAACACCCGAAGUCGGUAGUCUAACCGCAAGGAGGACGCCGCCGAAGGUGGGGUUGAUGAUUAGGGUUAAGUCGUAACAAGGUACC